rnacentral:lncRNA from 1 species
GACUUUUUGUAAAAGGGCUUUAUACAUGAAAACAUAGCAAUGUAUCAACAUGAAAACAUAGCAAUGUAUCAACCUACGUCAUCAACCUACGACAUCAAAGAGGGUCAACCAACUUCCUGGUAGAGAAUGCAGUGAUGAGUACUAAAAUUGUCAUCCGUAAUAAAGAGCAGUGUGCUAUGAUAAACUGCAUCUAACGGCUUUAAUGAGGUGGCAGCUGUGUUCAUACAGAUAAUGUCAUCAUAGUCUAGGACUGAUAGGAACGUCGACUGAAUAAUCUGCUUUCUACUAUUUACCGAGAGGCAUGACCUCCUCCUUAGUUUUACCUGCAUUCAUUACUGAUUUCAGGUUAAUAAUGUUUUUCUGUAAUACAAUGAGGGCAGAUUGUAGUUCAGAUAGAGCCUGGUCAAGUGUUUCGGCAAUAGCAUCCACAACAGUAUCAUUGGCAUACAAGUGCAGGUUGUCAAUUAUGGUAAUAUAAACAGUAAAAAGUACAGGACCCAGAAUCGACCCCUGCGGGACACCUUUCGUUAUGUCCAGAAAACCUGAUUUAACACCAUCACAUUGAGUUUUAUCUGUCAAGUAAUUUUUAAACCAGUUACAUGCAGCCUGGUCUAGGCCAAUUGAGGAAAACCUUUAAAUUAGCAGUGAGUGAUCAACAGUAUCGAAGGCCUUUGACAGGUCAAUAAAGGGGGCAACACAACGUUACCUUUUAUCCAUACAGUUAACCACAUAAUUUAUAACUAAAUAACUAAUGGGGCGGCAGGUAGCCUAGCAGUUAAGAAUCCCCGGAAAAUCUGGCGAUGUGCCGCUGAGCAAGGCACUUAACCCUAAUUUGUCCUGUAUGUCGUUAUGGAUAAAAGCAUCAGCUAAAUGACUAAAAUGUAAACGUAAAUAACUAGGGAUGCAGCAGUGAUAGUGCUAUGACCUGUUCUAAAACCCUACUGAUGUACAAUUAGAAUACAUUUCAACGAUAAGAACGAUCUUAGCUGAGAAUUAUUCAAGGAUUCUAAUAUUUUAACUAGGCAAGAAAGUUUAGAAAUAGAGCGAUAAUUAUUUAGUUCACAAGGGUCACCACCUUUGUGAAGGGGGAGUACAUGGGCCACCUUCCAAACGUUGGGGAUAGUACCAGAUAUAAUCAUCAGGUUAAAAUAUGGGUUAAUGAUUCAGCAAUCAGGGGGGCAGAGAGCUGCAGAAAAAAUGGAUCAAGCAUAUCAGUCACAGUGUAUUUUUAUUUACAUCAAUCAUAAGCAAGGCAUCUAGCACAUCCCAGGUAGUAAAAUGUUUAAAUGAAAACAAAGAUUAACUACAAGUUGACGGGUUAACUGUCGAGUCAGUGAGAGGCUGGCAGAGUGAAGAGCAGUCUAUUGACUGACCAGGGUCAAUUAAACCACCGUUUCUCUCAAGUAAAAAGCCUGCCGAGAUAAAAUGACGAUUAAAAGCAUCACUUAUCCCAUUCUUCUCAGUUAUAAUGCCAGAUUCAGACAGGACUUGAUUUUUCAAAAUCCUGAGAUAGAGCUUAAAAAAUAGCUUGAUUUAUACUGAACAAAAAUAUAAAUGCAACAUACAACAAUUUAAAAGAUUUUACUGAGUUACAGUUCAUAGAAGGAAUUUAAAUAAAUUCAAUAGGCCUGAACCUAUGGGUUUCACAACUGGGCAGGGGCGCAGCCAUGGGUGGGCCUGGGAGGGCAUAGGCCCACCCACUUGGGAGCCCACAAAAGGGCUUUAUUACAGACAGAAAUACUCCUCAGAUAGCUCAUAAGAAAACCAACGGUUAUAUUUAUCUUUGCCUCUGAAUUGUUUAAAAGGGGCGUGUAUAUGGAGUGAAAAAAUAUGGAGGAGACAUUUUCUAGAGCCAACUCAGGAUCCUGAAUACAAGAGAGAGUGGCUAAAUCAGAUUAUAAACUGGGUGGUUCGAGCGCUGAAUGCUGAUUGGCUGAAAGCCGUGGUAUAUCAGACCGUACACCACAGGUAUGACAAAACAUUUAUUUUUACUGCUCUAAUUACGUUGGUAACCAGUUUAUAAUAGAUAAUAAGGCACCUUCGGGGUUUGUAAUAUAUGGCUAAUAUACCAUGGCUAAGGCCUGUAUCCAGGCACUCAGCGUUGCAUCGUACCGAAGAACAGCACCUUAGCCAAUAUUAUAUUGACCAUAUACCACACCCCCUCAGGCCUUACUGCGUAUUUUGCUGUUUGGUAUCUUUAAAACAUACUGUGGGACAAUGAUCACUGUGAUCACAUUAAAAUUCCUAUUUAAUUACUAAGAAUUAGACAAUAAAUAUACAUGUCAAUAUCCAUAUAAUGAGAUGACUAAAUAGAUUUGAGUCCUAUUCCUCCACAGCUUUGUGCAAAAAGUGCUACAGUAUAUGUCCUCAUUCUCCAAGUCUUAGAGGAGGAAUGUUACCAAUGACUGUAAUGUUGGAACAUUCUGCUCUUCUCAUUCUGGCACAGCUUUCCUGCUCCUGAACAGCUGUCCCAACCAACGCCCGCUAGCUUUCUUCACGGAUGAAUUCAUCUGUUGGCUUUCUGCUUUUCUCUGUGGUCUCCCUCUUCAGAGAACCAAUCUUCAGCUUCCAGGUCUUUGUCCUACUUCCCCGUUCUUUCUUUCCUGCUUCUUCUUUUUCCUGGAGAGAAGCAU